GCGGGGGUGCCCGAGCUAGGUCAAAGGGGGCGGACCCCUCCUCCGCUGGCGCUGGCCUGCCCGGGUUCGAAUCCCGGCCCCCGCACCA
rnacentral:tRNA from 1 species